UCAAGCGUUGUUCGGAUUCAUUGGGCGUAAAGGGUGCGUAGGCGGCGCGGUAAGUCGGGUGUGAAAUCUCGGAGCUUAACUCCGAAACUGCAUUCGAUACUGCCGUGCUUGAGGACUGGAGAGGAGACUGGAAUUUACGGUGUAGCGGUGAAAUGCGUAGAUAUCGUAAGGAAGACCAGUGGCGAAGGCGGGUCUCUGGACAGUUCCUGACGCUGAGGCGCGAAAGCGUGGGGAGCAAACAGG
rnacentral:rRNA from 1 species